GAUUCCUGAGAUGAUGAGUGUGUCAAGCACAUGUGGUCACCACACCUGACAGAGAUGCCGAGACCCAAGACACGUGUGACUGUGCUGGUGUGUGCGUGUGCACACGUGCCCUCGUGCAACGCGUUCUUCAGUCGCUGCCCUGACCCUGGAGGGAACCUGAAUCCGACUCCCCUACAGCUCUGCAGACUGCUCCUCCAACACCAGCUGCAAUGCCAAGGUGAGGGUGCAGAGAUGGAGCCAAGACAUCGUCCACUGCAGGCUGCAGUCCUGACCGCCCUGAACCUCUCAGGACGACCACAUCUUUAUGGCACUCAACCUCCAACAGGGCUUCAGCCAUCCUUCGUAGCUCUCCUCACCUUGGGAAGCCAGAGAUGCCACGGUGUGGAUAGAAGCAGCCUUCAUCUCAGAAAUGCCAGAGAUCCCGUGGAGCCUCUCGCCCACAGUUGCUUCCUCGCUUCCUCUUGGCGGUCCCCUGCGAGGUGCAGUCUGCCUCCUCCUGAAGCUGUGAGUAACCGUUCAGUGGUCAUUGUUUCCUCCUGUGGAGCCUCCAGUUUCAUGUGAAAAUGGUCUUUUAAAGCAGUUUGUUUCAGUUUCCUGAAGGUAGACAGCGAGUACUUGGAAGGACAGGACUGCGUGUCCCUAUAGUACUGAACUGUAAUUGAUACCUGUUACUCAGUUCUAGUUGAUUGCAUUUAGGAUCGAUGGUCAUAGGAAAUCAGUGGGUUACAUUGAAAAUAAUUUACUGGAAAUGUUAUAGUAUUUUUUAAACACCAUGAAUUGUGAUCUGCGUGGUUCUUCAGGAAAACUGGUAUAGGACAAUGUGAAAGAUAAGUGAAGCUUUCUCUGUCCAGUUCUUCCCUUAAAUCUCUCAUUCGUGGUCCUUAAAACAAGCAAACAACACAUCAAUUAGGCUUAUGAUUUGAUGUUUUAAUAGCUUUUGGGAAACAUGUUCUCACCUGCUCUGGAAACCAACACUUCUAGUACAGAGGCCAAGAACGGGUUAAAACCUGGUCACCUCACUAAUACCUUUAGUAUUAAGAACUCGGUCACCUCAUUAGGGCCUUGUUUAGGCCCCAGCAGUUCAGUAAUCCGGCAAGGCAUUAAUGAGGUGGCUGGGUUCUACCACACUUCUGGCUCUCACGAAGCCCAGUGUUUAAGGCAGACUGGGGCAUGUUCUGAAAAAUCUGUCAGACAUCCAUCAUGCAGCCCUACUGUGGAAGUGCUGUGAUUGUGAGCCUUGAUAAGGAUACUGUUGAUGCCCUCCUACCCUGUGUUAAAGGACAUACUUCAGAGGCAUUGUCAUUUAUCACACAGAAUGGUCCUGUGGAGAUGACUUUACUGUUCAACAGGUGGAGAAACUGGGACUCAGAAGUGCUAAUUUCCCCCGGGUCAUUGGCAGAAAAUGUCUGCCCGCUGUUAGUGUCCGCUACUUCCAGCCCUGGCUUCUUGGUUUGGGAGUACUGCCCAGGUGGUUUUGCAGUUACACCUGGUCGUGACUAACUGUGGACUUCUGCAGUGUGCUUUACAGUCUGGGAUCACAACAUAUUAUUGUAUCUGGAAG
rnacentral:lncRNA from 1 species